rnacentral:tRNA from 1 species
GCGGAAGUGGUGAAACAGGUAGACACGCUAUCUUGAGGGGGUAGUGAGGCAACUCGUGCGGGUUCGAGUCCCGCCUUCCGCA